rnacentral:lncRNA from 1 species
GCCCGCAUGCGAACUGACUCUUGUCAACCCUAGAAAGCUUACGGUUCUAAUCACACAAAGGAGCCUACAGAAACAGAUAACACACAAAUAAUACUUUUAAAAUAUCUUACAUGCACGGUUAAGAACUUGUAGCACUAUAAAUCACACUCCUGUUGAGUGUUGACGACCAUGGAAUCUUACAACCAUUCUCACCCACAGAAUGUACCGCUAUCUUUAUCGUGUACUACAUCUGUCAAACAAUAGUUUUCUGCGCAAAAAAUAAUAAACGUUAACUCUCUGUUAAAAUACAAAUUAAGAGGAAUCAGUAGAGAGCAUGACGGAAAAACCUUAGAGAUUAGAUGACUAACUUCGAGUAGUCAAGAGAACAACCCAUUGCGUUUCUUAAGUAGGUAGCUGCACACGGUUUUACAUGGUAGGUUGAUAGGGAUAAACAAAAUAAAAUCACUGCCGGAUUGAUCGAAGAGGGCCAUUAAUUCAUGUUUAGUGAUUGCAAAGCAGCAGCAGAGUUGGUAGAAACAACUUAAAAUUGACUGCCACCAGCACAUAAAAAUUCCACGGAUGGUAGACAGGAUCAAAGCUAAAAGAUUCGAUCAUAUGUAGACUGUAGCAAACAUUUGUGAGUUAUUAACUAUUAAAAUAUAGUUAUACUAAAAGAACCAAAUUUGUAGGAAUUUCUUGGGAGUCCAUAAUUAGUAUAAGUAUAGAUUUGUUGAUCAUUAUUUGAGGAAGGCACAUUGUCCAAACCUAGCUAAGGUCUUAUUAAUAUGAUGAGGCAAGAAUUUAUAUAGUCGCAAACUGGUGCCGUUAUCCAAUGUAUCAAGCCUUGCAUUAUUAGGUAUCAAUUCUUGUGUGAUGUAGUCAUUAUCUAUUUUGUCAUAUGGUUGCCUCGCCCAUGCCUCCAUCCAGUGUGACCUUGUCAUGCUUCCUCAUAGGUGGCAGAGUUCACGUAUAUCAGCAACAAAGUGGUUUCACUACUUGGCGGAGAGGGCACCCAUGGAUACCCAUGAGAAGGUGCCUCAACAGACAUUGGGUGGCAGUGAAGCUCGGCCUUGGCUACAACCUUGUGAGUGUUCUGGUUGCUAGCUGGAUGUGCUUGCUAUGAGAUAGAAGUAUGAAGUAGCAUUCUAUAUCCAACCUUGUAGUUUUUAAGUACUGUAUUGCAUGAACAGGGCUUUACUCUAUACAAAAUUCACCAACUAUCUACAUGCAAUACACU